AAAGAGCUCGUAGGCGGUCUGUCGCGUCGGCUGUGAAAUCCCGGGGCUCAACCUCGGGUCUGCAGUCGAUACGAGCAAACUAGAGUGUUGCAGGGGAGACUGGAAUUCCUGGUGUAGCGGUGGAAUGCGCAGAUAUCAGGAGGAACACCGGUGGCGAAGGCGGGUCUCUGGGCAACAACUGACGCUGAGGAGCGAAAGCGUGGGGAGCGAACAGGAUUAGAUACCCUGGUAGUCCAUGCCGUAAACGGUGGGCGCUAGGUGUGAGUCCCUUCCACGGGGUUCGUGCCGUAGCUAACGCAUUAAGCGCCCCGCCUGGGGAGUACGGCCGCAAGGCUAAAACUCAAAGGAAUUGACGGGGGCCCGCACAAGCA
rnacentral:rRNA from 1 species